rnacentral:tRNA from 1 species
GAAAUAUACAAAUAUUAAAGCUUCUAACUUUAAAAAAGAUAUUUAUGUAUCUAUAUUUMU